UACGUAGGGGGCAAGCGUUGUCCGGAUUUAUUGGGCGUAAAGAGCUUGUAGGCGGUCUGUCGCGUCUGCUGUGAAAAUCCGGGGCUCAACCCCGGACUUGCAGUGGGUACGGGCAGACUGGAGUGCGGUAGGGGAGAAUGGAAUUCCUGGUGUAGCGGUGGAAUGCGCAGAUAUCAGGAGGAACACCGAUGGCGAAGGCAGUUCUCUGGGCCGUAACUGACGCUGAGGAGCGAAAGCGUGGGGAGCGAACAGG
rnacentral:rRNA from 1 species